rnacentral:piRNA from 1 species
UACCAGCAAUGAUACCACA